GCGAUCAUACCACGACUAAUGCACCGGAUCCCAUCAGAACUCCGAAGUUAAGCGUGCUUGGGCGAGAGCAGUACUAGGAUGGGUGACCCCCUGGGAAGUCCUCGUGUUGCACCU
rnacentral:rRNA from 1 species